AAAAAAACCGAAAAAUGACAGAGGAAGAACAAAACGCGAAAUCUUGCCCGAAAUUCUCAUUUUUCAUCUUGUUUCCAAACCACCGGACAAGUGGCUCUUUAGCAGAACAUUUGGCGCGCUUUGCCGGCAUUUCAGUGAGCACCACAGC
ensembl:ncRNA ZK377.9 ncRNA